UGGGGAAUUGUUCGCAAUGGGCGCAAGCCUGACGACGCAACGCCGCGUGGAGGACGAAGACCUUCGGGUCGUAAACUCCUUUCGAUCGAGACGAACGGCCCCUGGGCUAAUCACCAGGGGAGUGACGGUACCGAGAGAAGAAGCCCCGGCUAACUCCGUGCCAGCAGCCGCGGUAAUACGGGGGGGGCAAGCGUUGUUCGGAAUUACUGGGCGUAAAGGGCUCGUAGGCGGCCAACUAAGUCAGACGUGAAAUCCCUCGGCUUAACCGGGGAACUGCGUCUGAUACUGGAUGGCUUGAGAUUGGGAGAGGGAUGCGGAAUUCCAGGUGUAGCGGUGAAAUGCGUAGAUAUCUGGAGGAACACCGGUGGCGAAGGCGGCAUCCUGGACCAACACUGACGCUGAGGAGCGAAAGCCAGGGGAGCAAACGGGAUUAGAUACCCCCGUAGUCC
rnacentral:rRNA from 1 species